UAUGAAUUCAUGUUACAAGGACCAGGGACUUUACAUUGAAGGGAGACCUUAAAAAUGACUUAGCAAGGAAAACAACGUUUAGAACAUGUAUUUGACUAGCAGGACCAGCUGCUUUCCUGUCCUAUCCCUGCUCUUAUAAUGGACAAUUCACACUUAUUGGAAAUUGAAAUUAACACUAGGCUGACAACUGUGAAAGGCUGUAUUUUCAACAACAGGAGCUGUUGGGCACUUCCAUUAGCUCCUGCAGCACGUAAAGCAUUAGGCUUUGCGUGUAGACUCAGAACACCCAGCAAUGUCAUUUAACACCUUAUUAAGCACUUAGUAUCUGACCUAUAAAGGAGUCUGUCAGUCCAAUUUGUGGGUCGAUUAUACUUCUAUGCAACAUGUUAAAGUAGUGUAAGUCUGCAGAGUAAUUUUAAAUGUUCUGAUUCCUCAUGUAAAAUGCUAGUGUUUUUUUUUUUGGAACCACCUGGAUUUUGGUUCACUUCUUUCAGGUACGGUUCCCUCAGAUGGUCCUCGUUCUUCCACCACGCCCCAGCUGCCAGCACAGACAUGGACAACCACUCCCUGUGGCAGCAUAGCAGAGUAGGCAUGAACCAUGCAGAACUGCUUGGCUCAGGGACCAGUGUUGUUCCUUGGGGGGCAUGACAUCAUCCAUCAAGGUGUAGCCUGUUUGCAUUCAUUUGUCUCCCGGACUCCCCCUAGUAUCUUUGUUUGCUAUUCUUGCAUAAAAAUGAUUACUGAUUACUAUUUCCUUGUCCAGUAAGUUCCACCACCUUACAGAAUAAGUACUCUGUGCACAGAAGUACAGGAAGAAGCACAAUCUGCCACCCAUCCCACGAGUAAGAAUGUUCUCGGACAACUUAGAAAUGCACAAGAUUAAGGCAUUUCUAAAAGAGAGAGGGAUCCCCACAAGCUCAUGGAUUGUACCAUUGUACAGAUUCAACCUUCUAAUAGAUGUAUUACUUACAGAUAUUUUGUCAAGGGCAGCUCUUGCAGAUUCAGAUUGCCCAUUA
ensembl:lncRNA